AAAGAAACCAACCGGGAUUGCCUCAGUAACGGCGAGUGAAGCGGCAAGAGCUCAAAUUUGAAAUCUGGCCCCCUCGGGGUCCGAGUUGUAAUUUGCAGAGGAUGCUUCGGGUGCGGCCCCCGUCUAAGUGCCCUGGAACGGGCCGUCAUAGAGGGUGAGAAUCCCGGCUGGGACGGGGUGUCCGCGUCCGUGUGAAGCUCCUUCGACGAGUCGAGUUGUUUGGGAAUGCAGCUCUAAAUGGGUGGUAAAUUUCAUCUAAAGCUAAAUACUGGCCGGAGACCGAUAGCGCACAAGUAGAGUGAUCGAAAGAUGAAAAGCACUUUGAAAAGAGAGUUAAAAAGCACGUGAAAUUGUUGAAAGGGAAGCGCUUGCGACCAGACUCGCCCGCGGGGUUCAGCCGGCAUUCGUGCCGGUGUACUUCCCCGCGGGCGGGCCAGCGUCGGUUUGGGCGGCCGGUCAAAGGCCCCCGGAAUGUAGUGCCCCUACGGGGGCACCUUAUAGCCGGGGGUGCAAUGCGGACAGCCUGGACCGAGGAACGCGCUUCGGCACGGACGCUGGCAUAAUGGUUGCAAACGAC
rnacentral:rRNA from 1 species